UACGGGGGGGGCAAGCGUUGUUCGGAAUUACUGGGCGUAAAGGGCUCGUAGGCGGCCCGGUAAGUCCGCUGUGAAAGUCGGGGGCUCAACCCUCGAAUGCCGGUGGAUACUGCUGGGCUAGAGUCCGGAAGAGGUGAGUGGAAUUCCUGGUGUAGCGGUGAAAUGCGCAGAUAUCAGGAGGAACACCGAUGGCGAAGGCAGCUCACUGGGACGGUACUGACGCUGAGGCGCGAAAGCGUGGGGAGCAAACAGG
rnacentral:rRNA from 1 species